rnacentral:rRNA from 1 species
CAGCGCAGUGUAGCAAUACAUGGGCGGCGACCGGCAAACGGGUGCGGAACACGUACACAACCUUCCUACAAGUGGGGAAUAGCCCAGAGAAAUUUGGAUUAAUACCCCGUAACAUAUAAAGAUGGCAUCAUUUUUAUAUUAUAGCUACGGCGCUUGUUGAUGGGUGUGCGGCUGAUUAGGUAGUUGGCGGGGUAAUGGCCCACCAAGCCUGCGAUCAGUAGCUGAUGUGAGAGCAUGAUCAGCCACACGGGCACUGAGACACGGGCCCGACUCCUACGGGAGGCAGCAGUAAGGAAUAUUGGACAAUGGGCGCAAGCCUGAUCCAGCCAUGCCGCGUGAAGGAUUAAGGUCCUCUGGAUUGUAAACUUCUUUUAUAAGGGACGAAAAAAGGGAAUUCUUUCUCACUUGACGGUACCUUAUGAAUAAGCACCGGCUAACUCCGUG